UACGUAGGCAGCAAACGUUGUUCGGAAUUACUGGGCGUAAAGAGUGUGUAGGCGGCUUCGCAAGUUUGGUGUGAAAUCUCCCGGCUUAACUGGGAGGGUGCGCCGAAAACUGCAAGGCUCGAGUGCUGGAGAGGAGAGCGGAAUUCCUGGUGUAGCGGUGAAAUGCGUAGAUAUCAGGAGGAACACCGGUGGCGAAGGCGCUGCUCUGGGCCGGUACUGACGCUGAGGAGCGAAAGCGUGGGUAGCAAACAGG
rnacentral:rRNA from 1 species